rnacentral:rRNA from 1 species
CCAGCACCCCGAGUGGUCGGGACGAUUAUUGGGCCUAAAGCAUCCGUAGCCGGUACUGCAAGUCUUCCGUUAAAUCCACCUGCUUAACAGUUGGGCUGCGGGGGAUACUACAGCGCUAGGAGGCGGGAGAGGCAAGCGGUACUCAAUGGGUAGGGGUAAAAUCCGCUGAUCCAUUGAAGACCACCAGUGGCGAAGGCGGCUUGCCAGAACGCGCUCGACGGUGAGGGAUGAAAGCUGGGGGAGCAAACCGGAUUAGAUACCCGGGUAGUCCCAAGCUGUAAACGAUGCAGACUCGGUGAUGGGCUGGCCUUGUGCCAAACCCAGUGCCGCAGGGGAAGCCGUUAAAGUCUGCCGCCUGGGGAUACGGUCGCAAGACUG